GAUUGCAUAAUUUGAAUAAUUAAGUAUUCUUGUAUCCUUUAUUAAUUUUAUUCUUGGAAGCAAGUUUAUAAUUCCUAAUUAAAGGGAUUAUUUUAUUAUUUUCAGAGAUGAGAAUGGUGAUAAAUACGAAAUAUUAUUAGUCGACUUAUCGCUCGACUAAUUGAAGUGACUGAUGUUAUUUAAUUAUUUAUCUAUGAGCUUUCUUAUUUUAACAGUGAUGAUUUAUUAUUGUUAUUAUUAUUUCUUAAUUAUUGAGAAUAUUUAUCUAAGUGUGUUUUUGGAAGAAUUUCUUUUAUCUAUACAUUAAGGUAUAUAUAUUUUUCCAUUAAGAUAAAAUAAGGUAUGCACAUAUAUUUAAUAUUUUUCUCCCUCAAGUGGGCCGAUCAAUAGGCCACCAAAUUGGACUCUCAAAUAUAUUGUAUCAAAUGUUUUUAUUUACUGCACAAUUCCCAAUAAAGAAUGGAUGUAUAAUUAAAUAGGUGUAGUGGUAUUUGAAGAAAUCUCAUUUUUCUUGUUCUCAAAACUAUAGACUCUUUCCCCCAAAAACAGAAGCAUCACCUUCUUUCUUCAAGUUGAAAAUCGUAGAAAAAUCUUGAGGCAGUAGCUGUACUAUUUGAAAGAAAAGGUUCGAGUGGCAGUGUAGAAUGAACAAGCAAGGACUUCUAUUUCAUUAAGCGUAUCAGGUGGGCUUACUAACUCAAGAAGUAAAGAUGCAUACUUUAUUAUAUAAAGUUUGAGUGUAUGCAUUUGUUUUCAAAUUAUUGACUUGCCAAUAUUUGAGAUUUGUAUGAUACCAUCUACAUAGAAGAACGAAUUCGGGUCCUGAGCGAGUCAGGAUUUGUGUACACAGAGUUGACAGUUAACCUUUGAGUUAACUUGUCAUCGUGUUUGAGAAUGAGGCCUACUUCUCAACACUUAAAGUUAUAUGAUGCGUAGAUAUGGUACAUACAUGUUAAUUGU